rnacentral:rRNA from 1 species
UACGAAGGGGGCUAGCGUUGCUCGGAAUUACUGGGCGUAAAGCGCACGUAGGCGGCUUUUUAAGUCGGAGGUGAAAUCCUGGAGCUCAACUCCAGAACUGCCUUCGAUACUGAAGAGCUCGAGUCCGGGAGAGGCGAGUGGAAUUCCCGGUGUAGCGGUGAAAUGCGCAGAUAUCGGGAGGAACACCAAUGGCGAAGGCAGCUCGCUGGGACGGUACUGACGCUGAGACGCGAAAGCGUGGGGAGCAAACAGG